UACGUAGGGUGCGAGCGUUAAUCGGAAUUACUGGGCGUAAAGGGCGCGUAGGCGGUGAGUCAAGUCAGGCGUGAAAGCCCCGGGCUCAACCUGGGAACAGCGCUUGAGACUGGCACGCUCGAGUUCGGGAGAGGAUGGUGGAAUUCCCAGUGUAGAGGUGAAAUUCGUAGAUAUUGGGAAGAACACCGAUGGCGAAGGCAGCCAUCUGGACCGACACUGACGCUGAGGCGCGAAAGCGUGGGGAGCAAACAGG
rnacentral:rRNA from 1 species